UACGUAGGGUGCAAGCGUUGUUCGGAAUUACUGGGCGUAAAGGGUGCGUAGGCGGGUCUUAAGUCAGGGGUGAAAUCCUGGAGCUCAACUCCAGAACUGCCUUUGAUACUGAGGAUCUUGAGUUCGGGAGAGGUGAGUGGAACUGCGAGUGUAGAGGUGAAAUUCGUAGAUAUUCGCAAGAACACCAGUGGCGAAGGCGGCUCACUGGCCCGAUACUGACGCUGAGGCACGAAAGCGUGGGGAGCAAACAGG
rnacentral:rRNA from 1 species